GGUGUCUCAUUAAGAGAAAAAAGAACAUCACUAGCUAUAAUCGGUGUACAAGGAGAGGCAGAUAAAGGAAUCCAAAUACCAACUAUCAUCUUCUAAAAGAAGGAGCGUUUAAUGGUUAUCAUCCCCAAUUUUAAGGUUUCUUUCUCCAGUUCGUAAAAAUGCUUAUGGAAGAAAGGAAGAUACAUACACCCAGCGGAAUCAUAAAUCGCGAAGAUUAUAUUUAUGGGGCUCGUUUCUUCUUUGUAUCGUUCACUUUGAAAAAUGAUCAAUUUUAUAUUACAUGUAAUUUGCUUUCAAAUGGAUGCAAGUGAUCUCAUGAAUAAAUAACCUUUUCUUUCUAA